GACGAACGCUGGCGGCGUGCCUAAUACAUGCAAGUAGGACGCAGUUGCGAACGCGUGAGUAACGCUUAUGUAACUUCCUAUUAGAGUGGGAUCACUAUUGGAAACGAUAGCUAAUACCGCAUACUAGUAGAUGGACCUGCGUUGUAUUAGCUAGUAGGUAGGGUAAUGGCCUACCUAGGCGACGGUACAUAGCCGACCUGAAGGGGGGAACGGCAAAAAUGGGCCUGAGAAACGGCCCAGAAGCCGACGGGAGGCAGAAGGAGGGAAUGUUCGGGAAUGGGAGGAAACCUGACCGAGCAACGCCGCGUGAGUGAAGAAGGUUUUCGGAUCGUAAAGCUCUGUUGUUAAGGAAGCGGUACUUAACCAGAAAGGGACGGAUAACUACGUGCCAGCAGCCGCGGUAAUAC
rnacentral:rRNA from 1 species